AACGAGCCUAUAAGCACUGCGAUCUGAUAUGGUCAUGCUAGAUUUUGCCUCCUACUCGAUUCCUUUAAUGUUCUCAUUUGGCUGCCUUAUCUCCCUUCUAGUUUUGUCCAUGGAUCACAAAAUCCUCACAUGGAAUUGUCAGGGUGCGGUGAGCCUCGAUUUUGGCCGGGUUUUUUAAGCUUUUACCCAUCAAUACAGG
rnacentral:lncRNA from 1 species